rnacentral:rRNA from 1 species
UGAAUACGAGACGCUAAGGCGUCGAAGUAGUGUAUGUCAUACUUCCAAGAAAAGCUUGCACUGUCAUAGAUAAAAAACGCCUGUACCAUAACCGACACAGGUGGGUAGGUAGAGUAUACUAAGGGGCGCGAGAUAACUCUCUCUAAGGAACUCGGCAAAAUAACUCCGUAACUUCGGGAGAAGGAGUGCCUUAUUCGUAAGGUUGCAAUAACAAGAUCCAAGCAACUGUUUAUCAAAAACACAGGUCUCCGCUAAGUCGUAAGACGAUGUAUGGGGGCUGACGCCUGCCCAGUGCCAGAAGGUUAAAGAAGUUGGUUAGCAAUUGCGAAGCUGAUAACUGAAGCCCUGGUGAACGGCGGCCGUAACAAUAACGGUCCUAAGGUAGCGAAAUUCCUUGUCGGGUAAGUUCCGACCCGCACGAAAGGCGUAAUGAUUUGGAUACUGUCUCGGAGAGGGGCUCGGUGAAAUAGACUUGUCUGUGAAGAUGCGGACUACCUGCACCAGGACAGAAAGACCCUAUGAAGCUUUACUGUAACUUGAAAUUGAAAUUGGACUUUAUUCGCGCAGUAUAGGUGGGAGGCGUUGAUUAUAAUCCUGUGGGAUUAUUGGAGCCAUCAGUGAGAUACCACUCUUGUAAUGUUAGAUUUCUAACUUUGAAUCAUUAUCUGGUCAAAGAACAGUUUCAGGCGGGCAGUUUGACUGGGGCGGUCGCCUCCUAAACGGUAACGGAGGCGUACAAAGGUUUCCUCUGAACGGUUAGAAAUCGUAUCUAGAGUGUAAAGGCAUAAGGAAGCUUGACUGUGAGACCUACAAGUCGAGCAGGGACGAAAGUCGGUCUUAGUGAUCUGACGGUACUGAGUGGAAAGGCCGUCACUCAACGGAUAAAAGUUACUCUAAGGAUAACAGGCUGAUCUCCCCCAAGAGUUCACAUCGACGGGGAGGUUUGGCACCUCGAUGUCGGCUCAUCGCAUCCUGGGGCGGUAGUACGUCCCAAGGGUUGGGCUGUUCGCCCAUGAAAGCGGUACGCGAGCUGGGUUCAGAACGUCGUGAGACAGUUCGGUCCAUAUCCGGUGUAGGCGUUAGAAUAUUGAGAGGAGCCUUCUUUAGUACGAGAGGACCGAGAAGGACAUACCUCUGGUGUACCAGUUAUCGUGCCAACGGUAAACGCUGGGUAGCUAUGUAUGGAGUGGAUAACCGCUGAAAGCUUCUAAGUGGGAAGCCCACCUCAAGAUAAGUAUUCUCAUC